GUGACCUCAAAUCAGGUAGGACUACCCGCUGAACUUAAGCAUAUCAAUAAGCGGAGGAAAAGAAACUAACAAGGAUUCCCCUAGUAACUGCGAGUGAAGCGGGAAAAGCUCAAAUUUAAAAUCUGGCGGUCUUAUGGCUGUCCGAGUUGUAAUCUAGAGAAGUGUUAUCCGCGCUGGACCGUGUACAAGUCUCCUGGAAUGGAGCAUCAUAGAGGGUGAGAAUCCCGUCUUUGACAUGGACUGCCAGGGCUUUGUGAUGCGCUCUCAAAGAGUCGAGUUGUUUGGGAAUGCAGCUCAAAAUGGGUGGUAAAUUCCAUCUAAAGCUAAAUAUUGGCGAGAGACCGAUAGCGAACAAGUACCGUGAGGGAAAGAUGAAAAGAACUUGGGAAAGAGAGUUAACAGUACGUGAAAU
rnacentral:rRNA from 1 species